GAUGAACGCUGGCGGCGUGCUUAACACAUGCAAGUCGAACGGAGUAAUAUGAAGCUUUCGGGCGGAUUAUUACUUAGUGGCGGACGGGUGAGUAACGCGUGGGUAACCUACCUCAUACAGGGGGAUAACAGUUGGAAACGACUGCUAAAACCGCAUAAUAAGUUGAGACCGCAUGAUCUUAACUUCAAAUAUUUAUAGGUAUGAGAUGGGCCCGCGUCUGAUUAGCUAGUUGGUGGGGUAAUGGCCUACCAAGGCAACGAUCAGUAGCCGGCUUGAGAGACGUGACCGGCCACAUUGGGACUGAGACACGGCCCAAAACUCCUACGGGAGCUG
rnacentral:rRNA from 1 species